AUUGAACGCUGGCGGCAGGCUUAACACAUGCAAGUCGAACGAGUGGCGGACGGGUGAGUAAUGCUUGGGAACCUAGCUUAUGGAGGGGGAUAACUACGGGAAACUGUAGCUAAUACCGCGUACCAUAGGAUGAGCCCACGUGGGAUUAGGUAGUUGGUGAGGUAAAGGCUCACCAAGCCGACGAUCUCUAGCUGGUCAGAGAGGAAGACCAGCCACACUGGGACUGAGACACGGCCCAGACUCCUACGGGAGGCAGCAGUGGGGAAUAUUGCACAAUGGGCGAAAGCCUGACGCAGCAAUGCCGCGUGUAUGAAGAAGGCCUUCGGAUUGUAAAGUACUUUCAGUCGGGAGGCGUUACCGACAGAAAAAGCACCGGCUAACUCCGUGCCAGCAGCCGCGGUAAUAC
rnacentral:rRNA from 1 species